UAAUAAACUCAAAGAGAGUUCAAUAUGCAGAGUAUGUCUACAUGAACUGAUUCUUACUUCAAAUGUUUGAACACUAAGCAUUACUUUUACAUAAUGCAUGAAAUACAACUUCCAGUUCAUUCGUAUGAUUCUCCUUCAGGCUUACUGAAAGUGAAAUUUUAUUCAAUAUUUUUUUACUCAAAGGGAAGUACAAUUGCAAAACAAUAGAAAACUUGUAUAUAAACCGAGUAAAAAUCAAAAGGAUGAAUAAUUUUCUUUUAAAAAACCUUACUAAACAAGGACUAUACAUCUAGAAUCAUCAAUCUCAAUAACUAUGAACCUAAGGCAACAAAAAAUGUAAAACUUUUUACUCUUCAAACAAAGUUUCACAAAACUAAAACAUAUAGAAAGAAGAAAUAGAACACUUAAACAUGGUCAGAGAAGAAAUAGAAAGACUAUACACCAUAAAGUAAAGCAAAUAUAAAACCACUUCAAGCUUUGAAGAAACUACUAGACAAAUCCAUAGGAACACAAAUGAAAUUGAAAAGUGACAAACAUAUAGGAAAAAAAAUACAAAACUCGAAAAAUGUAUACCCUUUAAACAAGAGAUGAACGUACUUGAGGUUGGCACGAUCCACUGUGCAUAGGUUAUCUGAAAGAAUUACAAAGCUUUGAACAAAGGUAGAAGAAAAAGGCAGGUUGCUACAAUCCACUUCGUAUCAAGAAAUUUCCUUUUGUUGUACAAUUCGCGUGGAAAUUUUCUUAGAUUUUACAAAAGGGAGUCAAAUAAGAAGAAAACAUAAAAUCAGACGAUUAAAGGUAAGAAAAUAAAAUGGUCACCAACAAUUCACAAAAAGAGAAAAGGGAUAUUCUGAAGAUUCAAUUUUGUCGACUGUAAAUGAGAUUUGUAGGCAAUUUCGUCAAGGGUUUUCUGUAGAUAUAUUAAGGGUUCUUCGAAUAUUUGAGAAGAAGAAAUCGAGGUCUCAAAGAAAGAUAUAGGUAACAACAGUGAAAUGCUACUUUCCCAUAUCUAUCUAUACACUUGUAGAUAUAUACCAAAUAGUAAAAAACGAGAAAGUUAACAGUAGUGAACCAAUUUAGGUGUGAACUGGAGGUUUCAAGAAUGAACAGUAAAUUGGGAUUCACUCUUUUAAAGCAGAGGGGAUUACUUCAAAUAUUUGAACAUUAAGAAUUACCUUUACAUAAUGCAUGAAAUACAACUUCCAGUUCAUUCGUAUGAUUCUCCUUCAGGCUUACUAAAAGUGAAACUUUAUUUAAACAAUUUUUUCCUGAAAAGGAAGUACAACUGUAAAACAAUAGAAAACUUGUACAUAAACUGAGCAGAAAUCUAAAAGAUGAAUAAUUUUCUUUUAAUAAACAUUACUAAGCAAAGACUAUAUAUCUAUGGCAACAGAAAUGCAAAAUAUUUUACUCCCUAACCAAAGUUUCCCAAAGCUAAAACAAAAAGAAAGAAGAAAUAGAACACUUAAAAUAUAGUCAGAGAAAAAAUCAAAAGACUAUACGCCAUAAAGUAAAGCAGAUAUAGAACAACUUUAAUUUUUGAAGAAAUUACCACAAAAAUCCAUAGGAACACAAAUGGGAAUUGAAAAGUGACAAACAAACAGUAACAAAAAUACGAAACUCGAAAAUCGUGGACAAGGAUAAACAAGAGAAUAACGUACUUGAGGUCAGCAUGAUCCACUUUGUGUGGGUUUCUGAAAGAAUCUCAAAUCUCCAAACAAAGGUAGAAGGAAAAGGUAGAUGGCUACAGUGUACUUCAUGUCAAGAAAUCCCCUUAUGUUGUCCACUUUGGGUGGAAAUAUUAUCAGAUUUUACGAAAGGAAGUCGAAUAAGAAGAAAACACAAUCAAACGAUUAAUAGUAAGAAAAAAAAAUCGUUACCAACAAUUCACAAAAAGAGAAAAAGAAUAUUCAGAAGAUUCAAUUUCAUCGACUGUAAAUGAGAUUUGUAGGCAAUUUCGUUGAGGAUUUUCUAUAGAUAUAUUAGGGGUUCUUCAAAUAUUUGAGAAGAGAAGAAGAAAUCAAAGUCUCAAAGAAAUAUAUGGGUAACGACAGUGAAAAGCUGCUUUCCUAUAUCUAUCUAUACCACUUGUAGAUAUUUACCAAACAACAAAAAAUGAGAUAGUGAACAGUAGUGAACCAAUUUAGGUAUGAAUUAGAGGUUUGAAGAAUGAAUGGUAAAUUGGGAUUCCUUUAAAUAUUUAAACACUAAGAAUUACUUUUACAUAAUGCAUGAAAUACAAAUUUCAGUUCAUUCUUAUGAUUCUCCUUCAAGCUUAUUGAAAGUGAAAUUGUAUUUAACAGUUUUUUCUUCAAAGGGAAGUACAACUGUAAAACAAUAGAAAAUUUGAACAUAAACCGAGUAGAAAUCAAAAGAAUGAAAAAUUUUCUUUUAAAAAGACCUUAUUAAACAAAGACUAUACAUUUAGAAUCAUCAAUCUCAAUAACUAUGAACCUAAGGCAACAUAAAUGUAAAAUUUUUUACUCCCUAAACAAAGUUUUACAAAGCUAAAACAUAUAGAUAGGAGAAAUAAAACAGUUAAACAUAGCCAAAGAAGAAAUUAAAAGACUAUACACCGUAAAUUAAAGUAAAUAUAAAACCACUUCAAGUUUUGAAGAAACUACCACACAAAUUUGUAGGAACACAAUCAGGAAUUGAAAAGUGACAAACAGGAACAAAAAUACGAAACUCGAUAAACGUAUUCAAGGAUAAACAAGAGACUAACGUACUUGAGGUUAGCACGAUACACUUUAUGUGGAUUUUCUGAAAGAAUCGCAAAUCUUCAAACAAAGGUGGAAGAAAAAAGUAGAUCGCUACAGUCCACUUCGCGUCAAGAAAUCCCCUUUUGUUGUCCAACUCAUGUGGAAAUGUUCCUAGAUUUUACGAAAGGAAGUUGAAUGAGAAGAAAACACAAAAUAAUGAUUAAUAGUGAGAAAAUAAAAUCGUCACCAACAAUUCAUAAAAAGAGAAAGGAUAUUCUGAAGAUUCGAUUUCGUCAACUGUAAAUGACAUUUGCAGGCAAUUUCGUCAAGGGUUUUUGUAGAUAUAGUAGGGGUUCCUUGAAUAUUUGAGAAGAGAAGAAGAAAUCGAGAUCUUAAAGAAAGAUAUGGGUAACAACAGUGAAAAGCUACUUUCCCAUGUCUAUCUAUACCGCUUGAAGAUAUACUAAACAGCAAAAAAUGAGAUAGUGAACACUAGUAAACCAGUUUAGGUGUGAAUUGGAGGUUUCAAGAAUGAACAGUAAAUUGUGAUUCACUCUUUUAUAGUAGAGGGGAUAUAUAGAUGGCCAGCUUGCUUUAGUCCCAUAAUAUUGUUUUUCAGUCUUGAUAGAUCACCCAACUCCCAUAUGCAGUAACAAAAUCAUUGAAGUUGAAACAUCAUAUAAUCAAAAUCUUGUACAAAAACUUAAAUUUCAUUUGGUUUUUCUUUAAAUCUGCCAACAAGAAAAUUUUAGUAAUUUCAAUCUCGUCACAUCUCUCUCUACAAAAGUGAUACUAUUCUAUAGAUCUACU
rnacentral:lncRNA from 1 species